UUCCGCUAACACCUUCCUGCAGGAGUUGCUUGUGCUGGGCUUUUUGGUAUCGUUCCAAAGUGUCCGUGGCUCCAGCUGUGCACAGCAGCGCAGCAUACGCUCGCCCAGAGGGUGCUGACCCUGGGGUCCGCAGCAGCCCUGACACUGGAAGCCUUUUCCUGUUGACUAAAGGCUUCAUCAUCUCUUCUCUUACCUUUAGUUUCCUUCUCCGAAAGCUUCCUCGUGAUAACAGGACACAAAUGAGAAGUCAGGAAACCGCCUGAUAUGCCCCAGUUGACCAAUUAAUCACCGGUCCGUGUGUCUGCGGUGAUGGGCCCUGACAAACAGCGGUGCUGCAAGCCCUCCUCCCCCUUCCGACUGCUUAUCUCCUCCAAAAUCCCUGGUCCUGAGCUCAGCUCUGCCCUGCCCCAGCGGCACACUGUAACAGGAAUGGCUCUGUCCCAAGUAAACAGGAAAAGGAAAGCCGAGGGACGCAGCCUGUAGCUGGCACAGGUGGAGCCAAAACGCUGGGCCAUCCCAACAUUAUAACACACGUUUCUGGGUGUUUAUAACGUUUAUAAUGUUACAACACACGUUUCUGUGCCUAAGCAAACAACUCCUGACAGACCCGUGCAGCUGCUUGCUCUAGGCCCGGCCGGGACACGCGGCCUUUCCGACCAGUAUAUUCUGCUCUCCUCCAGGCCCCAGGGAGCACAAAACAGCCAACAUGAAGCCUACUCCAACUGCUCAAUCCACGUCUUGAUCUGCCUCCUGGGCCGAGGACGAGGACCGAGGCCUGUGCUGACCCAGCUCCGGCGGCAGUGGUGCAGGAACAGGAAACCAUUUUUCUCCUCUUCAAGGUUUUGGUGUAAUUUGAGAAUCAAGCCCCAUGCAGAUCGGAACACGUUCUUAAUUGCUGAUACAGAUAAGAUGUCUUGGUGUGCGUGA
rnacentral:lncRNA from 1 species